rnacentral:misc_RNA from 1 species
GUUGAAGUAUCUCCUUUCAACAAUGUUUUGCUAACAAGAAAUCCCUUCACACGUUCCACAAUCUCUUCUAUAAGUGAACUGCUUGGUGGUAGGUUCUUCAGGAUAACCUGGUUGUCAAUGACUCUGACUCUCAGGUAUUCUUGCUUAUACAAUGUAUCUAACAUGGCUUGGAGAUACCCUUCAAUGUAUAGCUCAUCAACCCCAGGACUUCGAUCAAGCCCAAUUUUUCGAUCAGGGCCACCUUCCAUGAAAGCACUCCCCAGUAAUGUAGGUUCCAUUGCCAAUUUAAGUAUUCCUUGAUGGAAACCAUUCACCAUUCCAUUUAAAC